rnacentral:rRNA from 1 species
GCAAGUCGAACGGUAACAGGCAAAGCUUGCUUUGUGCUGACGAGUGGCGGACGGGUGCGUAACGCGUGGGAACCUGCCUAUAAGUUGGGGAUAAGCCUUGGAAACAGGGUCUAAUACCGAAUACGGUCUACGGACUAAAGACUGCCUCUCCCUGGAAGCAGUUGCUUAUAGAUGAGCCCGCGUUGGAUUAGCUAGUUGGUUGGGUAAAGGCCGACCAAGGCGACGAUCCAUAGCUGGUUUGAGAGGAUGAUC